CCCCUCUCAGGGUUGCACCUGGAGAGUUUCCAGUCUCUACCAGCCUCGAAUAUGGGAGGGAGAGUCAAGCAGAGGUAUACUCAUUCCAUUCCUAGCUUGGGCAGUGGCUAGUGAGUGGAAGGCAAUCUGCUAUAAGU
rnacentral:snoRNA from 2 species